rnacentral:rRNA from 1 species
AUCGAACGCUGGCGGCAGGCCUAACACAUGCAAGUCGAACGAGUGGCGGACGGGUGAGUAAUGUCUGGGAAACUGCCCGAUGGAGGGGGAUAACUACUGGACACGGUAGCUAAUACCGCAUACCAUCGGAUGUGCCCAGCUGGGAUUAGCUAGUAGGUGGGGUAACGGCUCACCUAGGCGACGAUCCCUAGCGGGUCUGAGAGGAUGACCAGCCACACUGGAACUGAGACACGGGCCAGACUCCUACGGGAGGCAGCAGUGGGGAAUAUUUCACAAUGGGCGCAAGCCUUAUGCAGCCAUGCCGCGUGUAUGAAGAAGGCCUUCGGUUUGUAAAGUUCUUUCAGCGGGGAGGCGUUACUCGCAGAAGAAGCACCGGCUAACUCCGUGCCAGCCGCCGCGGUAAUUC